rnacentral:rRNA from 1 species
GUCGAGAGGGUUCGGCCCUCGGCGUACUGCUCAGUAACACGUGGAUAACCUGCCCUAAGGAAGGGGAUAACCCCGGGAAACUGGGGAUAAUACCCUAUAGGUUACAGAUGCUGGAAUGCUCUGUAACCGAAAGUUCCGGCGCCUUAGGAUGGAUCUGCGGCCGAUUAGGUUGUUGUCGGGGUAACGGCCCAACAAGCCAGUAAUCGGUACGGGUUGUGGGAGCAAGAGCCCGGAGUUGGAUUCUGAGACACGAAUCCAGGCCCUACGGGGCGCAGCAGGCGCGAAAACUUUACAAUGCGGGCAACCGUGAUAAGGGAACCUCGAGUGCCUGUAUAUGCAGGCUGUCUGGGUGUCUAAAACACACCUAAAGAAAGGGCCGGGCAAGACCGGUGCCAGCCGCCGCGGUAAUACCGGCGGCUCGAGUGGUGGCCACUUUUAUUGGGCUUAAAGCGUUCGUAGCUGGGUUGUUAAGUCCCUUGGGAAAUCCGACAGCUUAACUGUCGGGCGUCUAAGGGAUACUGGCAAUCUUGGAACCGGGAGAGGUGAGGGGUACUUCGGGGGUAGGAGUGAAAUCCUGUAAUCCUCGAGGGACCACCUGUGGCGAAGGCGCCUCACCAGAACGGCUUCGACAGUGAGGGACGAAAGCUGGGGGAGCAAACCGGAUUAGAUACCCGGGUAGUCCCAGCCGUAAACGAUGUGCGUUAGGUGUAUCGGUGACCACGAGUCACCGAGGUGCCGAAGGGAAACCGUGAAACGUACCGCCUGGGAAGUACGGUCGCAAGGCUGAAACUUAAAGGAAUUGGCGGGAAGGGCGAAUU